UUUAAUGAGCUGUCUGCUUUUAGGCUCACUAUAAUGUUACCAGGACUCAACUACUGAAUCCAGACCGACUGUUGAAUGAAAUAAUCUCUGUCCUUUCAAAGGAGCGCUACACUCUGAAAUGGCAAACGAAGCCAGACUUUGGCAAAGAAUCUCUGAAGUUUGAGUUAGAAUUGUGUCGGCUCAGUAAGAAUGAAGCAGUUGGUAUCAGGAGACAGAGGCUCAGAGGGGAUGCUUGGGUCCACAAGAGGCUGGUGGAAGACAUUUUAUCCUUUAGCUGCCACGUGUGACUGCUGCUCAGAAAGCCACAGUGUUGUACUGAGACUUUAAUCAUCAUUUUAGAAAAAUCAGCUUGGAAAUGUAAUCUGUGAUCUCCUUCCCAGCUGUAUUUGAGAAAUCUUGUCAGCUCUUAUAGUUUUAACCACCCCCUUUGUGUAUAUGCCCACUGCACGUUUCCUUUUCUUACAAAAACUGUCAACUUUUGCUACACGUUCUGCAGUUGUAACUCAGCCGAAAUAAAAUUCCUUAAACUACC